GAUGAACGCUGGCGGCGUGCUUAACACAUGCAAGUCGAACGAAGCACUUUAUUUGAUUUCCUUCGGGACUGAUUAUUUUGUGACUGAGUGGCGGACGGGUGAGUAACGCGUGGGUAACCUGCCUUGUACAGGGGGAUAACAGUUGGAAACGGCUGCUAAUACCGCAUAAGCGCACGGCAUCGCAUGAUGCAGUGUGAAAAACUCCGGUGGUAUAAGAUGGACCCGCGUUGGAUUAGCUAGUUGGUGAGGUAACGGCCCACCAAGGCGACGAUCCAUAGCCGACCUGAGAGGGUGACCGGCCACAGUGGGACUGAGACACGGCCCAAACUCCUACGGGAAGCAGCAGUGGGGAAUAUUGCACAAUGGGCGAAAGCCUGAUGCAGCGACGCCGCGUGAGCGAAGAAGUAUUUCGGUAUGUAAAGCUCUAUCAGCAGGGAAGAUAAUGACGGUACCUGGCUAAGAAGCACCGGCUAAAUACGUG
rnacentral:rRNA from 1 species